rnacentral:rRNA from 1 species
GAUGAACGCUGGCGGCGUGCCUAAUACAUGCAAGUCGAGCGAACGGACGAGAAGCUUGCCUCUCUGAUGUUAGCGGCGGACGGGUGAGUAACACGUGGAUAACCUACCUAUAAGACUGGGAUAACUUCGGGAAACCGGAGCUAAUACCGGAUAAUAUUUUGAACCGCAUGGUUCAAAAGUGAAAGACGGUCUUGCUGUCACUUAUAGAUGGAUCCGCGCUGCAUUAGCUAGUUGGUAAGGUAACGGCUUACCAAGGCAACGAUGCAUAGCCGACCUGAGAGGGGGAUCGGCCACACGGGAACUGAGACACGGUCCAGACUCCUACGGGAGGCAGCAGUAGGGAAUCUUCCGCAAUGGGCGAAAGCCUGACGGAGCAACGCCGCGUGAGUGAUGAAGGUCUUCGGAUCGUAAAACUCUGUUAUUAGGGAAGAACAUAUGUGUAAGUAACUGUGCACAUCUUGACGGUACCUAAUCAGAAAGCCACGGCUAACUACGUG